rnacentral:rRNA from 1 species
UAGGGAAUCUUCCACAAUGGACGAAGCAUCUGAUGGAGCAACGCCGCGUGAGUGAAGAAGGUUUUCGGAUCGUAAAGCUCUGUUGUUGGUGAAGAAGGAUAGAGGCAGUAACUGGUCUUUAUUUGACGGUAAUCAACCAGAAAGUCACGGCUAACUACGUGCCAGCAGCCGCGGUAAUACGUAGGUGGCAAGCGUUGUCCGGAUUUAUUGGGCGUAAAGCGAGCGCAGGCGGAAUGAUAAGUCUGAUGUGAAAGCCCACGGCUCAACCGUGGAACUGCAUCGGAAACUGUCAUUCUUGAGUGCAGAAGAGGAGAGUGGAACUCCAUGUGUAGCGGUGGAAUGCGUAGAUAUAUGGAAGAACACCAGUGGCGAAGGCGGCUCUCUGGUCUGCAACUGACGCUGAGGCUCGAAAGCAUGGGUAGCGAACAGGAUUAGAUACCCUGGUAGUCCAUGCCGUAAACGAUGAGCGCUAGGUGUUGGGGACUUUCCGGUCUCAGUGCCGCAGCAAACGCAUUAAGCGCUCCGCCU